rnacentral:rRNA from 2 species
UGAUGAAGGUUUCCGGAUCGUAAAACUCUGUUGUUAGGGAAGAACAAGUAUCGGAGUAACUGCCGAUACCUUGACGGUAUCUAACCAGAAAGCCAUGCAUAAUUUUGUGCCAGCAGCCGCGGUAAUACUGAUGUGGCAAGCGUUAUCCGGAAUUAUUGGGCGUAAAGCGCGGCGCAGGGGGGUCUUUUAAGUGGGAUGUGAAAUCCCACGGCUCAACCUGGGAGGGUCAUUGGAAACUGGGGAACUUGAGUCCAGAAGAGGAAAGUGGAAUUUCAAUGGUAGCGGUGAAAUGCGUAGAGAUUUGGAGGAACCCCAGUGGCGAAGGGGACUUUUUGUUUUAUAACUGACACUGAGGUGGGAAAGCGGUGGGGAGCGAACAGGAUUAGAUACCCUGGUAGUCCACGCCGUAAACGAUGAGUGCUAAGUGUUAGAGGGUUUCCGCCCUUUAGUGCUGCAGCAAACGCAUUAAGCACUCCGCCUGGGGAGUACGGCCGCAAGGUUAAAACUCAAAGGAAUUGACGGGGGCCCGCACAAGCGGUGGAGCAUGUGGUUUAAUUUGAAGCAACGCGAAGAACCUUACCAGGCCUUGACAUCCUUUGAAAAUCCUAGAGAUAGGAUGUUCCCCUUCGGGACACAGAGACACAGGUGGCGCAUGGUUGUUCUCAGCUUGUGUCGUGAGAUUUGGGGUAAAGUCCCGCAACGAGCGCAACCCCUCUUUUUAGUUCCCAGCAUUAAGUUGGGCACUCUAAGGUGACUGCCGGUGACAAACCGGAGGAAGGUGGGGAUGACGUCAAUUCAUCAUGCCCCUAAUGACCUGGGCUACACACGUGCUACAAUGGAUGGUACAAAGGGUUGCAAGCCCGCGAGGUGGAGCCAAUCCCAUAAAACCAUUCUCAGUUCGGAUUGCAGUCUGCAACUCGCCUGCAUGAAGCCGGAAUCGCUAGUAAUCGCGAAUCAGAAUGCCGCGGUGAAUACGUUCCCGGCCCUUGUACACACCGCCCGUCACACCAUGAGAGUUGGUAACACCAGAAGUAGGUAGGGUAACCUCAGGAGCCAGCCACCUAACGUG